GAUAAACGCUGGCGGCGUGCCUAAAACAUGCAAGUCGAACGGCGCACUUCGGUGUGCAGUGGCGAACGGCUGAGUAACACGUGGGUGACCUGCCUUCGAGCGGGGGAUAACUGCCCGAAAGGGUGGCUAAUACCGCAGACAUCGCGGAUUCGGUUCCGUGAUUGAACCUUCGGGGUUCGGAGAGGGGCCCGCGGCCGAUUAGCUAGCUGGUGGGGUGACGGCCUACCAGGGCGACGAUCGGUAGCUGGUCUGAGAGGAUGAUCAGCCAGACUGGGACUGCGAACGGCCCAGACUCCUACGGGAGGCAGCAGUUAGGAAUUUUGGGCAAUGGGCGAAAGCCUGACCCAGCAACGCCGCGUGGGUGAAGAAGGCCCUCGGGUCGUAAAGCCCUUUUCCCAGGGAAGAUGAUGACGGUACCUGGGGAAUCAGCCCCGGCUAACUACGUGCCAGCCGCCGCAGUAAAAC
rnacentral:rRNA from 1 species